CAUUAUACAGACUUGAGGAGGACAGUAAAGAAGUCUGAACUUAUUUGCUAACGAAGUUCAUAUUAGAGAACUGAUUGUAACACCCGUAUAGUAUAAUCAAUCACUUUGUGACUACUUCCUCCAGCUCCCUGAGGCCCCCAACCCUCUGCUCAAUCUCCUCCAGCAGCUCCUCCCGCAGGAGCUCCUCCCUCGCAGACGCCUCCAGGUCCUCUUGCUGCAUGCCAAUGAACAUUCAUUGCACAGUGCAGGAUAUAUAUAUCAGUAAAGUUAUCUGUGGCUAGGCUAACAGCUGCUUUGAUUAUUCUUCAUGCAGGCACUGUGCAUGCAAAAGGUGCGUGCUUUGCUUACCCUGUCGUAGUACCAGUGCACGGUUCCAUCUCCACCCGCGCUCCUGUACGUGUCACUGUCGUAGAAGGGAUCCUGUUUUGAUUUCACCCACAAGCAAAGGUGUGUCAUGAACACUCCAGGAAAUCACAUGCAUGCAUGAUGAUACUGUAUAUGUUAGUACUGCGUGCUAGCUAGCUAGCUUGCCUUCAUGGACGCGAAGAAGCAGACGCCCCAGACCGUGAACAUGGCGUAGAAGGUAUCUGCAUGCAUGCGCGCGAUCGAUCGAUCGAUCGAGAGCGAAGAAACGGUCAGUGGUUUCAGUUUCAGAUCAAAGCAGGGGCGGAGGAGCUCAAGUGCUGAUGGAGACGACGGUGCAUGGGAGCUGAUGAGGACACUCACAGACGCUCUUGAGCGCUGCGUCGCUGAGAUGCCAGAUGGACUUGGUCACGACGUAGUCCCGCGACAUGUCCACGUGCUCCACCAUCGUCACCAUCAGCGGCACCACCUCCAGCGACGGCAAGGCGCUCACCUUCGCUGAACCGGAUCUCUGCAACGUAACGCAACACCGCAAGCAAAGAUCCAUACGUCUGAACAUUACUGGACCAUCAAUCAAAAUGCAUGCAACUGGAUUCUUGUGGUCUCAUGGUGCAUGGACUCAUGGGCACUAUAUGGUAGCAACGCUAAUGUAAUGUAACACAACAUAGUAUUGCACAGAUCGGUUAGUCGCGGUUUCUUCAGAUUUCAGAAAGGGCCUGCAUAGAAGCAUAGGCAGUAGCAGUGACACAGUACUCUGUUUAUUCAUAUGCUUUCGCAAACAUAUCUAUCAUCUGUCAGCACGAAGCACGCCAUAUUCUUUAUGCAACGCUAGCUAUUGGCUUGCCUCGAAUUUACGUGUGAACAUGAACAUUUCUUGGUAUUUUUCGUUUCAGCAUAAGAGGUCAUGUACUGUACCUUAGAACGGCCGGACCUGCUGCGCCCGUGGUCAUGGAACCUGCCGGCGAGCUGCAGAGAAACAGCAUGCAUAAAAGUGAAACUUGAAGCAAUUAAUCGUUAACAGUCUGAACAUGGGAUUUGGAAGAGAACGAUACGUGUACUGUCGCGGGGCAGCGGCCGUGGCGGUCGGCUGAUCUCCUCGCGGAGUGCAGGGCGGCGGCGGCGGCGACGUGAGAGUGUGGCUUGAGCAGCGGCGAGGCCAUGGUCGUUCAGGUGCUUCUCUGAUGGAUGGCUCUGGAUGUGAGACUGCUGGGCGGAUGACUCAUGUUUGGUUCGCUGAUCUAGCGUGCAGGCCGUGAGUUUCUUCGGUGGAUAAGGUGGGUAAUGGGUGGCCUGGACGGUUUUCUUUUUCUCCAAUCCAAUCUCCAUCUUGUGCUGACGUAAGAACAGAAGCUUUGGGGCUAAAAAAAGGAGUAAAGUUUUCAAAUUACGAAAUGAGUGUUGGGGCUACUGGCAUAAUCACUAAAACCUUGUUGAUACAUAAACAUCUGGAAUUUGCAUAUUGUUAAUUAAGAAACAGGAGUCAAAAUGAAGCAUCGGAACAAGAUUGUGUAUUUCAAUCCACCUAUUCUAUCAGCUACAAGCCAAAGUUCUCCUGUGUGUUCAAGAAAAAGAUGCAGCACUAAGUGUUCUAACAAAAUUUGCAGUGAUUUUCAAGUGUCCCAGGAAAAUACAAAGAAUGCACAAUUAACAAAGCCAAAUUUCUUUAUUUCUGUCCAUUUAUAUUUAUUUCAGUGGAUGGCUUGGCAUAGAGAGAGGAGUAUACCUCAGUUCUAGACUCUUCCAGAGCAACACUCGACAUAUCCUGUUGCAAGAGCUUCUUGACUGCAACUUCCUAUAGACAAACAAAUUUUUGAUUCUGUAAACAACUUGGUAGCAGUGAACAAAGCAAAAGAAAAGAAAUACAGUGUCAGAUGGAAUAGCUAGAACUUCAGAAGACAGAAUACAACAAUGGAUCGAUCAUUGUUUUUUUUUUCAAAAAUGAGAACUACUGACGCCAAAAAUGUUCUAAAACCUGUUAGUCCAAAUGAUGCUAAGGCCUGUCACUAAGGUACAUGAAGUCACCUAAAGUUGUAGGGAAAACAUAAAGCAACAGACAGAAAAUGUAGGUGCAGUUCAAGCGUACAAAUAAAAUUUUCUCCUUUUCGUUACAAGAUUAACUGUUUCAUGGUAUAAAUGGAGAAACCGUUUCAUUGGCUCAUUGCCUUUUAUUAACUGGUUUCUCUCACUACUAGAUGUCUGUAAGAUUGAACUAAAGCGGUAUUGUAUUUCAUCGUUGGCACAGGUAAUGUUGUCAUAUUAUCUAAAUUAACAUUUCUUCACAUCCUUAGAUGCUAUCAGUAUACCAAAAAGGUUGGCUUUUACUUUAAUUAGAAGUGUUGAAUAUGUUCCAAAUUCAAUUACACAUUAUAAAGACCGACUUCUGACGGAGCGAAGCGGAAGCCCGUCGCCGGAGGCUUGGGCUGGAGCGAACGGCCCAUUGGUGUUGCCCUCGUCGUCACUCGGGGGGUGCGAGGGCUGGCCCCCAGCAGUACGGUACAUAUACCCAAAUUAGGGUUCCACCGAAGAUAUGAUCUUGUAAGGCGCUGCACGGCGUUGUAACCCAACUCUUGAUAAUAGUGAGGAGUGUUUGCUGGCUGGCGCCCGUGGUUUUUUCCUUUCGCAUUGGAGAGGUUUUCCACGUUAAAUCUUUUGUCUCCGUUGUGUUUUGAUCUUGUGUUCUUCGUCGUUUAUCCAACGUCAUUCACAACAAGUUGCUGACUCAAAAGAUAAGCAAGGAAUUUGUCGACUGAAAAACUCACUGUCCUAUGUCAUUCUCCUUUAUAAACUUCUCCAAAGGAAAUAACAGGUUGAAUUAAAUUUUUUAAAAAAAACAUGAAAUAUGUUUUCUAAAUAAAAAUGAUCAAAGAAACCAUUUCCCACAGUCAAUGAAAUACUUGUAUGAUUAGGAAAUCAUUUUCAUAAAUAAUAAUCAAAUAAUAAAUCAACUUUACCUGUUAGAAUAUACGUUUAGAAUAUUCGUUUCCAUGUACAAGAUAUGUCGUGUAGAUUAUAAACGGCAUAUCUUUCCUUACUUGUAGAGAAGGUUGUUUGAUAGAUAUUCUUGAUAGGUUGUUGUAAUCCUAACUUGAUGUACAAGCCAUGCUGAGGGCUGUUCUCAGAUUAUAUAAACAUGCAACCGAGGGCCCUAGGGGUAACCUCGUUCAUCUAAUUUCACAUGGUAUCGAGCUCUUUUUUCCUCACGGAGUUCUUCCAUGGCGUUCGCUUCUUCAUCCUCCGGGGUGUCUGCUGCACCUUCCUUCCAGUCACCGAGAAACUCACCCGCACCAACCAUCAAUCAUGGAAGGCACAGGUUCUCUCGGCGCUUCGCGGGGCACAGCUUGCCGAUUGGCUAGAGGCCAAUGCCGAGCCGCCGGCCAAGUUCCUCACCAAGAUCAAGCCUGAUGAUCCCGACAAGGCCAACCCCGACUACGCUACUUGGGUAGCCAAAGAUCAGACAGUUCUAAGCUAUCUGCUCACGAACCUGUCUAAGGAAGUUCUCGCUCAAGUCAACACCGAGGUCACCGCCAAAGGUGCAUGGGCGGCCAUUGAGGGACUCUUCGCGUCCCAGUCACGCGUCAAGAUCAUCACCACCCGUAUGCAACUCGCUACGAUCACCAAGGGUACUUCCACCAUCGGGGAGUACUUCACCAAGAUCAAGGCGCUCGCGGAUCAGAUGGCGGCUGCUGGCCGCAAGAUUGAAGAUGAGGAGCUUGUCUCCUAUGUCCUCACCGGCCUCGGGGAGGAUUUUGACUCCAUCGUUGCAGCCAUCUCCACCCGUGUGGAACCGAUCUUCAUCCACGAACUGCUCGCUCAACACACCAGUCAUGAGCCGCGCGUGGUUCUUCGCAAUGGUGGUGACCAGCAGUCCUCGGCUAACGUCGUCACCAAGGGUGGUCGUCCCACUUCCUACCACAACCGAGGCAACGGUGUCGGCCGUGGUGGUGGUGGUGGCCGCAAUGACCGCGGUGGGCGCGGCUUUGCCCGUGGAAAUCACAAUGGUGGACGCGGUAGCAACUUCAUCCAAGGGCUCAUCUGUCAGGUCUGCGGAAAAGAAGGUCAUCCGGCCUUCCGUUGUUUCAAAUGCUUCAACAAGGACUACAAUGGAGGUCCCCCACAAAAGUCUGCCUCCUCGUCCAGCACCUCUUCGUAUGGUGUUGACACGAACUGGUAUGUUGUGUCCGGCGCAACCGACCACAUCACCGGGGAAUUGGAGAAAUUAUCCUUCCGCGACAAGUACCACGGCGGCGAACAAGUUCAUGCUGCCGACGGGCUAGGUAUGAAUAUUACAAAUGUUGGUCAUAGCUUUUUGCAUACCCCUAGUAGAAAUCUUCGUUUGCAUAAAAUUCUUCAUGUUCCUCAAUCUCAUAAAAGCCUUUGCUCUGUCAAUCGCCUUACAAAAGAUAAUAAUGUGAUUGUUGAAUUUCACCCCGAUCAUUUUCUUAUCAAGGAACAGGUGACGGGGAACAUACUUCACAGAGGUUGGUGUGAGGGUGGUUUCUACCCUUUGUUGCUCCCAUCGAAUAAGUCGUCCAAUAAGCAAGCCCUCCAUGCUGUCAAGCCGGCUGCGUCCUUUUGGCACCAUCGUCUAGGACAUCCCUCUACUGCUCUAGUUCAGGAAGUUCUAAAUCGCCACAAGCUUUCUUUCUUCAAUGAUUUCAAUAAGUCUAGGGUGUGCGAUGCAUGUCAAAAAGGCAAAAGUCACCAGUUGCCUUACCCUAGAUCAACUAGUUUGUCUUCUAGUCCUAUGGAUUUGAUAUUCUCCGAUGUAUGGGGUCCUGCUCCUAGUUCCAUUGGUCGAAAUAAAUAUUAUGUUAGUUUCAUUGAUGAUCACACCAAAUUUGUUUGGUUGUAUUUGCUGCGAAACAAAUCUGAAGUGUUUGAGCGUUUUCGUGAUUUCCAAAACCUUGUAGAACGACAGUUUGGACGUAAAAUUCGUGCCAUCCAAACUGAUUGGGGAGGGGAGUACCAAUCCCUGAACACGUUCUUUCAGCGGGUUGGCAUUGCCCACCUUGUUUACUGUCCUCAUGCUCAUCAACAAAAUGGGGCCGCUGAACGUAAGCAUCGCCACAUAGUUGAAAUGGGCCUUACUCUUUUGGCUCAUGCGUCAAUGCCCCUAAAAUUCUGGGAUGAAGCUUUUUCCACAGCUGUCUAUCUGAUCAAUAGACUUCCCUCCAAAGUCAUCGCCAAUGACACACCCUUCCACCGUCUCUAUGACACUCAACCUGACUAUACUCUUCUCCAGACCUUUGGCUGUGCUGUGUGGCCCAAUCUUCGUCCCUACAACCAGCACAAACUAGCCUUUCGUUCUAAACAAUGCAUUUUUCUAGGCUACAGUAGUCUUCACAAAGGAUAUAAGUGUCUCGAUCCAAAGGAAGGGCGUGUUUAUAUUUCCCGUGACGUUGUGUUUGAUGAGCAUGUUUUUCCCUUUGCUGCUCUUCAUUCUAAUGCUGGUGUUCUGCUCCGUAAAGAGAUUUCUCUCCUUCCUGAACAUCUUCAACCUUUUUCUACUAGCCCCGAGGAUGCAAAUAUGCAUGAUCAUCGUUUGUGUUCUUCUAACCCUGCUAAUGCCCCUGCGAGUUUCUCUCAUGCUGAUAUUUUAGGAACACACGGUGAUCCAUUUGGUGAAGAAAUGGCGUCACACGGUCCUGAUCUCUCCAGUGGCAACGGGCGUCAUUUUAUGUGCUCCCGAGUCUCCGACAUCACGCCAUUUGAAGCAGAUGCACCAGCCUCUACUGCCGAGGACCCAGGCGCAUCCGCUUCGGGAUCGGCUCCGCGGACCAGCUCGGUAGGCGUCACAGUGCCUGCGCACUCUAAUCCGGGAUCUUCUGCACCAGACUCCGCCGAGCCUCUGUCUGGUUCUACGUCGCCUCCGCCACAGCCGGAUCCGAUCGCCGGGGGACAUCUGACCGCGUCGUUGUCUGGUGACGCGGGACAGAACUCGAGGCUGAUCCCGAUCACUGGAUCCUCUACGGCUGCGACUACAGCUCAUCAUGCGCCCGCGGCUGCGACUCCUACAGCUGAUCAUGCGCCUCCUCUGCCUCAACGGCCUACAACACGUCUCCAGCGUGGAAUCACAAAGCCAAAACGAUUCACUGAUGGUACAGUCCGUUGGGGUAUGCUUUCUACUCUGAAUACAGAAGAACCUUUCUCUCUUCAAGCUGCACUAAACGAUAAAAAUUGGUCUCAAGCCAUGGCAACUGAACAUGAAGCCUUGCUGCGUAAUAAAAUCUGGCAUCUUGUUCCUCGUCCCAUGGGUAAAAAUAUUAUUGGAUGCAAAUGGAUGUACAAGGUAAAACAGAAGGUUGAUGGGUCUAUUGACAGAUACAAAGCCCGCCUUGUUGCCAAGGGUUUUAAGCAACAAUAUGGUCUAGAUUAUGAAGAGACUUUUAGUCCGGUGGUAAAAGCAGCAACUAUAAGAUUGAUUCUCUCUAUUGUUGUCUCUCGUGGUUGGUCUCUUCGUCAGCUUGAUGUUCAAAAUGCUUUUCUCCAUGGUAUUCUAGAAGAAGAGGUUUAUAUGCAGCAGCCUCCUGGUUAUGUCGAUAAGAAUCAUCCAACUUAUGUCUGCAAAUUAGAUAAGGCACUUUAUGGACUUAAACAAGCACCCCGUGCUUGGUAUGAUAGGCUAUGCAAGCGGUUACAAGCUCUCGGUUUUGUUCCUUCCAAGACUGACACCUCACUGUUUGGCAAGUAUUGUAUCUUUGUACUUGUAUAUGUCGAUGAUAUCAUUGUUGCAAGUUCCUCUUCUGCAGCUACAGAUGCACUGUUGAAAGAUCUUCAGCGUGAUUUUGCACUUAAGGAUCUCGGUGAUCUCCAUUAUUUUCUUGGCAUUGAGGUAAAGCGUGUUUCAGAUGGCCUGAUUCUUUCUCAGGAAAAAUAUGCCACAGAUAUCUUAAAGUGGUCUGGUAUGCACAAUGCUAAGCCUGUGGAUACUCCUUUGUCAACCUCUGAAAAAUUACGAUUGACAGAUGGCAGUCCGCUUGGUCCAGAUGACUCCACUAAGUACAUAAGUCUAGUUGGAGCCCUUCAGUAUCUUACACUUACACGACCGGAUAUUUCAUUUGCUGUCAAUAAGAUUUGUCAAUUUCUUCAUGCCCCAACUACGGUUCAUUUCAGCUCUGUCAAGAGAAUUCUUCGAUAUGUCGUGGUACUGUUGGUUCUGGCAUUAAGAUCAAACGUUCCAGUUCUACUCUUGUCAGUGCAUUCUCUGACGCUGAUUGGGCUGGCUGUCUUGAUGAUCGUCGGUCAACCGGAGGUUUUGCCAUCUUCUUUGGUGACAACUUGAUUUCUUGGAUGGCACGGAAACAACCUACUGUAUCACGUUCUAGCACAGAGGCUGAAUACAAAGCACUGGCUAAUGCUACUGCAGAAACAAUAUGGAUUCAGAAACUGUUGACUGAAUUACGUGUUCCUCAUCCUCCUGCAGCUCGGUUGUGGUGUGACAACUUGGGUGCCACUUAUUUAUCAGCCAAUCCUGUUUUUCAUGCACGCACUAAACAUAUUGAAGUGGAUUUUCAUUUUGUUCGUGAGCGUGUUGCUCAAAAGUUGCUGCAAGUUCGGUUCAUUGCCUCUGAAGAUCAAUUAGCAGAUGGUUUUACUAAAGCUAUUGGUGCAGUCAAGUUGAAACAAUUUUGUCACAAUCUUAACCUUGUUCGUGGCUAAGAUUGAGGGGGGAUGUUAGAAUAUACGUUUAGAAUAUUCGUUUCCAUGUACAAGAUAUGCCGUGUAGAUUAUAAACGGCAUAUCUUUCCUUACUUGUAGAGAAGGUUGUUUGAUAGAUAUUUUUGAUAGGUUGUUGUAAUCCUAACUUGAUGUACAAGCCAUGCUGAGGGCUGUUCUCAGAUUAUAUAAACAUGCAACCGAGGAUCCCUAGGGGUAUCCUCGUUCAUCUAAUUUCACAUUACCAAGGCCAAUCCGUUCACCAAUAGCAAUUUCUUCCCACUGAGAUCUCAAACUCUGCAGCAUCUUCUAGAGCAAGAUCAGAUUUCGCACUCUUUGUCCCACUUGAUUUAUUUGAUUUAUCAGAGGUUAGUUCAGCUUGAUGAGGAACUUCUUGGUCCAGAGAAGUAUCUUGGGCUCUUGGCCAUAUGAUCUGCUUCAAUGUGGUGUUUGUCCAAAAGGUCAUCUCCAGAUUCCUCAACUGAUCAUUUCCUUGAGAGGGAGUACUUGGUAAGCUAGCAGCUGCUUACCAGGCUGUUCAAAUUGCUUGCUAGCAGCAGCAGCGACACAGGCACGUCAAAGUUUACGUCAUUGUUAGAUUUAGCGGCGGCAGCAACAGCAACCAUAGAGGAUCGAUGCCACCACUGCAGCAGUUGUGACAGGCAACUGCUCAUAAACGUGAUCCUGUUCGUCUUGGUACAUCAUCUUCGCGCGGGCCGGCCGUAUGGUAUGGGAAUGCAAGCAUCCCGGCCUGACAAUUUGGAUAUAUAAGUUGGGCCGGGCGUGGAACUGGAUUCCAUGCAUUGCAUGCAUGGUUUCCGUCAGUUGGUGCCGAUAUGACCUCCCUACCAGCCGCGAUGAAGGUCCAAUAACGCGAGGAAUAUGAUACAGGGUUACCUGAUACGGGGCACGUCAGCUGGUCUAGUGUAGAUGAGGACCACGUCCCCAUCCCCUCGCGCUGCGCCAGUGGCCGGCGACUCCGGCGCCGACGCCGACCGCAUCAAAGCCAGCCAGAAAAGCCAGGGCCAGAUCGAGAGGGGGCGUCCGUACGUGUGGCAGCGCAAAAAUCCGGGCCGGAGCUUGCAGCUAGCUAAUGCUAAUGCUCACACGGACGGACGGACCACGGAGCCGCAUCAUCUCUCCCCAUCGUGGAAAUCGCGGGCGCGGGCGCGGCCGAUGGCGUCGCCGUCGGCGCGAGCGACUUUAUGCGCCCACCCACGCAAAAGCACAAGGGUGUGCGCGGCCGCGGGGCGGCGACAGCGACCGCCCCCAAUGGCCAGUGGAAUGGGAAUGGGCAUCAUCCGGGGCCGCGUCCCGGCUCCCCGGCCGGGGCCCCCCCCACACCGAUCCAUCAUCCAUCUAAUCCCCGGCCGCUCCAACGCACGAAGCGGACUUGGAAGUUGGAACUGCUGGCAGUGGCAGGGGGCGUUGCCCGGCCGGGCUCGGGCUUGUGCUCUCCCUGUUUUGGAGCAGCAGGAGGCCGGAUGCUCUCGAUCGUGCUUUUUCCGGACAUGAGGUGACAGCGCGGUUAUGUGUUAAGAUAGGGUUCUCUUAUCACCUACAGAGACCACUGGGAAUAUAUUCGUCACUAGGAUUUGGAUGCAAAGGCUCUAGGCCAUGGGGAAAGGCACGACAGCAUCUCCCAUCCGUUCAUCCUGCCUGCGGGCCCCACGGGGAGAUGUCCGGGACUCCUGGCCAUGGCGGCCGCAACUGUGUGUGCCGCCGGAGCCCGCAUCGUCUGCCUCACCUGUCUCGCCGUACCUCUCUUCUUCUCCAUCUUCGGUGGACUUAGAAAGAGAGGUCUGAGGAGGUAGUCUAACGGUGGGAGCAGAAGAGAUGGCGACGAGGCCCUACCAUGCCGCCACAGGACGGUGUGGGCAGUGGCGGACGUGACCGGUGGAUGCUGAGGGCGGUGACCGGGGGACGGAGGACCGCCAACAGCGGAGGCUAGGGGCACAAAGGCUAAGGCCAAGGGCACGAAUCUUGACGCCGUCGGAUAAGCCUAUGCGGCCAUAACUACAUGUGAAAACCUACAUCCGUAGGCCAUAUGCCUACGUCCCUACUAGCUCCAUCCAUGUGUCAAAGUUUCUCAAAUCGUUUUCCUAGAUCAGUUAGGUCAAGCACAAGUGCACAACACUCUCAAGAAAGAAAAGGGGUCCAAUGUUGCGCAUCAUUCGUCCAAGAAAGAACUACUUUGCGUAGAACUUAUCCUAUAGGACUAUGUUAGAAGUGUUUUGAGCCAUUUGUUUUAAACAAAUAAAAAGACAACCAAUGUUAUUUAGGUUUGAACCUUUGGUCUGUUUAGCCCAGCUCUAACUUUGAGAUCCUUAUAGCAUAAGUUUGUAGGACUAAAUACACAGCAUACUCCUUUCAUCCUAUAUGGUUUCUGAGCAACUUUAGGAUCAAAUAAGAAGUCUAUCAAAAACUAACUUGCACCUCAUUGAUUAGUUAGCUUGAUUAUUAACUUUGCUUAAUAACGCAUAGCUUAAAAAGCCAUGCAUCCAUGUCACUGAUUCUGGCUACCAAUUAUCAGUCAUUUUUCGCAACAUGGUGUUUAAAAGACAUGUAUGAAAAAGAUGGACACAUCUAAAUAAAGAUGAGCAAUCUAGAAUACCUUAUAAUCUAUACCUAAUAAUAAUAAAGAGAAAAAGUUUUAGCCCUUCUUAAACCUUCAAUAUAUUGCAUUCUAGGAUGAAGGGGUAGGAAUAAUCAUGUAUUUUAUCCAACAUAGGAAUAGAAUUACUCAAACAAAUACAAAUGCAGCUCUAGCUCCAAAAGAGCUAAGAUACGACCAGCUCCAAGAAUUCUAGGAGCUAGAGUUUCACCAAAGUGCCUGGUUGUGAUCAAGUGGUACAAAUAAGCCAUUAUGUAAGAACAGAUCAACGAGUCUUUCUUCAACUCACUUUUUAAAUAAUCAUUUAGAGAGUCGUUUGGAUAAAAAUCGUUCAUAUAUCUUUUCAUCAUCUAGCAGCUUCUCAAAUCUUGUGCGUAGAGUCAACCUAAUCUUCAUCUUUGACUAGCAAGAAAUCCAGAAUAAAGGAUGACAAUAUUUAGAGAUCUAAUUAAAUAAACCAUUGGAGAACAUUUUUUCACUAAAAUCUCUAUUUCUAUUAAAAGAAUGAUAUAAAAAGACUCUUGGAGUUGCUCUAUAGAUAAACUUGUUUCCUUAUAAUUAUAUCUUGAAAGUUUGUUUAAUCCAUGUUAGAUGGUGUGGUCCCUAAAAUGUUACAAUAAAAGGUUUGAACCAACUAUGGAGACUUUUUCUGGAUAAAGUUUUGGCUUUGCAUUGGAUAAGCCGGACUUUUUUGCAAGCAUUAGAUAAAGACGUUAAACAUUGGCACCAAAGGAAAAUGGCAAAGGUUACGAUACUUGUUUGGACUGGCGAUAGGGCUGUGUUACUUUGAACACAAUGGACAGAAAAAAGGCACACACAUGACUUUUGCUAAAUAACCAAAUAUGCCGCUCCAAACUUUAUGGGAUGCCUUUGCUUUGAGACGAUAUUAAUUCAAUCCUCACUUUUUUAAAUUGUUUAUUAUAGUUACAACCCUUUGCUACCUGUUGUGUUGCUUAAAGUGAAGUAUUUCACGGAAAGUUGAUAAAGAUUUCCACAAAUAACAGAUCGUUUUGAUUCUUUUGAACAAUUAGAGGAAUUUAUUAGAUCCUUUUAGGAAGCCUCAAAUGAGCAUAGAAUUAGAUCAAAUCUAUCCUUAAGAAUAAUGAUACUUCCUUAAAAAGGAAGAAAUUUUUUUGCCAAGUGAUACCACUCAAACGUGUAAUAUGUUGUUGGACACCGCCAACAAUGAAAUAUGCCUAGUAGCAUUAUGGAAGCACGUAAAUUUAUUGUAACACACCUUACUGAUUAUUUUAUUUAUUUCUUGAAUUUUAGGAGAGAGAAGAUCAUAAAAAUGUCUUUUGUAUCCUUGUCUUCAAUCUUCGGCUCUUCAUUGUUCAUCCCAUUGCCUCGCACAUGGUAGGGAGCUCCUCGGUGGCACGGCCAACAUAGGGGCGAGCUCCCCGAGGGCACGCUUCGUGGCGGCACGGCCAGCCCUAGUUCCGCCUCCUCCUCCAACACCACAGCCACUACGACGUCCUUGCCUGUCACCACUGUAAUAGUCACAACUAGCCUCGAGCUUGUAGGGUGCGAAGUCGGUGGCAAGCCACAUCCAUCACACUGGCUUCACCCCCUUUGAAGUAGGAAUGGUCCUGCCCCAUGAACCAGCCCUAGGAGGGUAGGUCCGAGAUUCUUUUGUUGUUGCCGUUCAUGGCAACCAGCUCCAGCGUGAUGUUCGCGUCCAUCUUGACCUUCCAUAUUGACCUUGUCCGGAUGAACAUUGUGUACACGCACUCCAUGUUGUUGCUACCCACACUACUGGCUUCUACGCCUCAGAUGAGCUGUGAUGACAAGGAGAGGGAUGGAAUCGCACAAAUCUCAUUCAAGCAAUGCCGGUGGUGUUGGAGGAGGAGGAGGAGGCAGACCCGGGCAGGUGCAAGUGGUCGAGGAGGACGGUGAUGAGAAAGCGGCGGCGACAUGUUUCGACAAACAAUCAGUGAAGAGCCAGAGGUGGAACACAAAUCUAGAAAAGACAUUUCUCGUACCUUCUCUUUUAAAAUCUGAGAAAUAAAUAAAAUAAUCAAUAUGAUGUGUUAUGAUUAAUUCACAUGCUUUCAUAAUGGUAUUGGACAUAUUUCGUUGUUGGCGAUGUCUAACAACAUAUUACAUGUUUUUAUGGGCAAAAAUUCUCAAAAAAAUAUAUGUGCAGUUACAGCUAUUUUCAGGGUUGAUUUAAUUUGCUCCCUGAUUGACCUAUCCCAAUUUUCCCAUGCUUGCUUUAUUACAACAAGUGAGCCUGAGCAUUUGGUUGCGCCCUCAGAAUUAAAGUAAGUUUGUAUUUUUUUUAAAAAAAAUUGAGUGUCAAACCAUUAAAUUUUUACGGCAAUAAUGAGCCAGGAAUUGGAGGCGAUAUUUGGGCUGACCAAUGAACUUUUUGUUGUGCACAACGUUUGACUGUUCGGCUUGUUGUAUGGCACCUUUAUAUUUAGGAAAAUCACCAUGUUUAUUUUUGUCCUACAUGUUGUAUGGUACAGUACGUUUGAGAUACUUCUUUCACGGAUUCCACGAAAACCGAACUACUAUUUGUUAGGCCUUGUUUAGUUGGUAAAAAUUUUGGAUUUUAGGUACUGUAGCACUUUCGUUUGUUUGUGACAAAUAUUGUCCAAUCAUAGACUAAUUAGGGUCAAAAGAUUCAUCUCGUGAUUUACAGGCAAACUGUGUAUUAGUUUUUGUUUUCAUCUAAAUUUAAUACUCCAUAUAUGUGCCACAAGAUUCGAUGUGACGGGAAUCUUGAAUUUUUUUGCAAACUAAACAACAACAAAAUUUAAGAUUCCCGUCACAUCGAAUCUUUGGUCGCAUGCAUGGAGCAUUAAAUAUAGAUGAAAAUAAAAACUAAUUGCACAGUUUUAUCUGUAAUUUGCGAGAUGAAUUUUUAAGUCUAGUUAUUUUGUGAUUGGACAAUGUUUGUUAAAUAAAAACGAAAGUGCUACAGUAACCAAAAACCAAAAUUUUUACGAACGGCCUAAUUCUUUUAUGGUCUAAAUAUUUGUUGAUUCCAGUUCAUAAUUAGAUUUGGCUCUUACCCAGACAGCUCAACCGAUUUCUCCCCCUUUUUCUGUCAGAUAAUACUAUUUUGUAAUACAACAAAGUACGGAAUAUUAUAUAGAGGAAAAGGGUGAGGACCAGGAAGAUAAAUGGACAAGGAGAAAAAGUUAGAUCAAAUCUAGCCAACCAAUCCCGAUAUCCACAGCCUCUUUCUCCAUUGGACCAGAACUGUCCCAACAAAAACCAGAAGGCAGAAGCACCAACAGCAAGAGCACCAAGCCACCAACACCAAACAAAAACGUAGUCAAAUUGCACAUCAGAAAUACAUAUACAGAGAAGAAAGGGGGAAAACAUUUCUCUACAGCUCGUGCGCCCACUCCACCACUGUUCUUGGGAAUCUUGGAAGGAAGAAAGCAGCGGGUCUCAGCUCACCACUCGUUCCUGGCUUCAUGGCUUCCUGACGUCCUCUCCUCUUGAUCCAAGAACACCGGGGGUUUCUUGGAAGGGAAGUUCUUGGAUUGGUCGGCCAUCAUGUCGGCCUCGUCCUCGUCCCUGUGCGGCGGGGACCCGGCGAUGAGGAGCGUGGUGUGGUUCCGGAGGGACCUCAGGGUGGAGGACAACCCGGCGCUUGCGGCGGCGGCGCGUGCCGGUGGGGAGGUAGUGCCGGCGUACGUCUGGUCGCCAGAGGAAGAGGGCCCUUAUUACCCCGGGCGUGUGUCCCGGUGGUGGAUCAGCCAGAGUCUGAAGCACCUGGACGCCUCGCUCCGCCGCCUAGGUGCAGGAAAGCUCGUCACGCGGAGGUCGGCCGACGCCGUCGUUGCGCUCCUCCAGCUGGUCCGCGACACCGGCGCCACGCACGUCUACUUCAAUCAUCUAUACGGUUUGUUCCACGCUCCACCCAGUAGUGGCAUAUGUCUGUCUUAGCUCAGCUUUUUCUAGGAAAAAUAGUUCUUUUUAUAUUGUUAUUAGUCAGCGGUUGUAUCCAGGAUUCCCAUCCUUGGUAUGUUGUUCAUGCUUCAAGAUUAUUAAUUCUUGAACUUGGCUUCACUAGAUAAAACAAAUCAAUUGCAAUUUUAUUUCCUUUUUGUUUCACUAUUCAUCUGAUUUGUUCCAUGUCGAGCAGAUCUUUAUAUUAUUGAGGUAGUGCUUGUGAUAUAGUAGUAUUAGUAACUCCCUGGUCUCAAGUCUCGAGUCUUCACAAACCUCCACUUGUCAACUGAAUAAAAUCCCGGCAUUUCGACAUCUCCUUCUUAAUUCACAAAAGUUCUUUGUUCCCCUAGUUCCCUAACCAUCCCAAUGAGGUAUGUCAAAUUCCACAUAUAGUAGUACUGUAGUACUUUAGUUUUCACUCCAUUGAUUGCUUGUCCUUUUACUAAGAGAACAUGAUUUAGGCCUUUGAGACCAUCUCAUCUUAGAUCUUACUCGAUCACUGUGUCACCAUCUUUUCAGACCCGAUCUCACUAGUCAGGGAUCACCGGUUGAAGGAGAUGCUGGCGGCUGAGGGCAUCGUUGUGCAAUCUUUCAAUGCGGAUCUGCUGUAUGAGCCAUGGGAAGUUGUCGAUGAUGAAGGGCAACCAUUCACCAUGUUCACUGCAUUCUGGAACAGGUGCCUCAGCAUGCAGUAUGAUCCCCCUGCACCACUUCUGCCCCCGAAGAAGAUCAAUUCAGGUGCUUGGAGAACUAUGAGUUUAAAUUUUCUAGCUUCAACUUGUACAGAUAGCUUAUUGACCACAUAUUGUUUUUGACUUCCGAUGCAUCAUGCAUUGUAUAUUUUGCAACAAGAGUACCUGCGACUAAAGAAGAUUACAAACAAUUAAAAUGCUGAGUUAUCUGUGUUUGUUUUCUGCAAACAAUGUACCAAUUACUAUUAGUCAUUUAGGUCUCCAGCUGGUUGAUCAGUUAACCAUAGUAUCAUAAGCAUUGUGCUUGUGCUACAAGUUAAUGUUGAAUUAGCUCUUGAGUUGAUUGGCUGAAAUUUUGAACAGGUGACUUAUCGAUGUGUCCAUCGGAAGAUCUGAUCUUUGAGGAUGAUUCAGAGAGGGGAAGCAACGCUCUUCUGGCCCGAGCAUGGACACCAGGGUGGCAGAACGCAGACAAGGCACUGACAGCCUUCCUCAAUGGUCCAUUGGCUGACUACUCAGUGAACCGUAAGAAGGCUGAUAGUGCGAGCACAUCCCUACUCUCACCUCACCUGCAUUUCGGUGAGCUUAGUGUGCGCAAGGUUUUCCACCUAGUUCGUAUGAAGCAGCUUGUGUGGAGUAACGAGGGCAACCACGCUGCUGAGGAGAGCUGCACCUUGUUUCUCCGUUCCAUUGGCCUGCGGGAGUACUCUCGGUACCUGAGCUUCAAUCACCCAAGCAGCCAUGAGAGGCCCCUCUUGGCGCAUCUCAGGUUUUUCCCCUGGGUGGUCAAUGAGAGCUACUUUAAGAUUUGGAGGCAGGGAAGGACUGGGUACCCGCUCGUUGAUGCUGGCAUGAGGGAACUGUGGGCGACAGGAUGGUUGCAUGACCGGAUACGUGUGGUGGUUUCAAGCUUCUUUGUCAAGGUCCUUCAACUUCCAUGGCGAUGGGGUAUGAAGUACUUCUGGGACACAUUACUGGAUGCUGAUCUUGAAAGCGAUGCACUGGGCUGGCAGUACAUCACUGGCUCUCUUCCUGAUAGUCGAGAGCUUGACCGCAUCGACAAUCCGCAGGUGCGUGCAGCUUUUAAUUUCUGAAUAAAUCAGGCCACUUAGUAAUUAUAAAUAAUACUGAAUACUGAUACAUUGUCAUGGCAAUCAAUUCCUUGAUGCUAGUUUGAAGGCUACAAGUUCGACCCGCAUGGGGAGUAUGUCCGACGGUGGAUUCCUGAGCUCGUAAGGCUGCCGACAGAAUGGAUACAUCAUCCAUGGGAUGCACCUGUUUCCGUGCUGCAAGCUGCAGGAAUUGAGCUGGGAUCCAACUAUCCCCUCCCCAUAGUUGAGCUAGACGCGGCCAAAGCCAGACUGCAAGAAGCCCUAUCAGAAAUGUGGCAGCUGGAGGCAGCAUCAAGGGCCACCAUGAACAAUGGAAUGGAGGAAGGCCUCGGUGAUUCCUCAGAGGUUCCAUUUCCUGAAGAAUUACAGAUGGAAGUCGAUCGGCAGCGAGCCCAGGCAACAGCCAAUGUGGUGAUGACUGUUCGGAGGCGUGAGGAUCAGAUGGUGCCUACCAUGACCUCUUCAUUGAACAGAGCUGAAACAGAGGUUUCCGCCGAUCUAGGGAACAGUGAGGACACUAGGGCACAGGUUCCGUUUCAUGCACAUUUCCAUCCCCGAGUUGAGAGGGAAGACAUGAUCCAGAAUACUGAAGGCCCUGCACUUAGAAUCAAUGGCACUCACCAACACAACAUCUUUCAGCAACCUCAGAAUCAUAGGCGAGAAGCUCUUGCUCCAUCAGUGUCGGAGGCUUCAAGUAGCUGGACCGGCAGAGAGGGCGCUGUGGUCCCAGUUUGGUCACCUCCUGCAGCAUCAGGCCAUUCAGAAACUUUUGCUGCUGAUGAAGCUGACGUUUCUAGUAGGAGUUAUUUGGAUAGGCAUCCACAGUCGCACCGGUUGAUGAACUGGAGUCAAUUAUCACAGUCAUUGUGAGUUCGGAUGCACGGUAACCCAUUUGUUCUCACUAAGUUGUGUUGUUGCACUAGCAUUGCAAUUUGCAGCUUAUCAUGAUAGCACGCAUGAUUAAUAUAUUACUUAACCUCAACAAAGUGUCUAAAAGAUUAUGCUUUUGUUCUUGGCGCAGAAGGCUAUAACAAUUUAAAUAAACCAGGGACAUGACCAAUGUGCUGUCUCCUUUUUUUUGUGUGUGUGUGGCCUAAAGUAGCUGAAAUGGCAUCUAACGUUUGAUGAAACUUGAACUGCAGGACAACAGGCUGGGAAGUGGAAAAUUCUGUGCAGCCAAACUUACUCGGUUAGGGUUUUCUGAAGAUGGAAUUCAUAUGUAGAUUGUCCACUCAACUGCUCAUCUAUAGUCCGAUGGGAUGCAAACCAGGCAGCUUUUCCUGGUGGUGAUUAUAGUUGUGUAAAUCUCAUCUUCUAGAACGUGUGUGGUCGAUAUAGUGUGGUUGGCUUUAAAAAGUCACUAUUAUUGAUCAGACAACAAAGGUUUUGCGUAUUUUGAGCCUUUUUUUUUUGGGAGGUAUGUGAUGUAUGUAACUGUACAUUCCCUUGUGUUUCUCAGUUAACCAUUGUUAGUUUCAUUUCUUGCGUCUUGUAUAGUUGUAUUACUGCUUCAUGUGUUUGCCGGAGUUGUGGAGUAACUUGCUCCGCGUCUCUGCCCUGGUGAUUUGAAGCUAUGGCUCUAGAGACAAUAUGGUUAUGAUUAGGCCCAGCUUGGCAUGGCUCCAUUUCUUACUAGAGUGGCUUCACCGGCUUCUAUUUCAUUUUGAGAGGAGGGGGGGAAAACAGCUUGUUAUUGCAGUGCAUGGUGGAGCUGCCGGAGCUCUACCAAACAGGGUCUAGAUCUCGAUGUAUUGUUUGUUUUGGCUAGGACACUAACAAACCACAACUUACAGGCAGAGGAUUGACUAGGGUCCUGAGACGCCGAGGUUGGAGGGCAGCCAUGGCUUCUCACAAAAAAGAGCGCAUGCUUUGCACUCCUAACUCAUCUUGACAACGCUUAAAUUGUUACGAGAUUUUUCUUGGAAAGGUAUAGUCAAUCAACUAUUUCUAGAAGCAUCUUUGGCAGUUGUUGGAACAUCGCCACACGAGAUGGUCGUCAUAUCAUGAUUACUUGAUCACAUCAACUUUGAUUGUGGCAAAGCCGUUGUUAUAUGGAAAGGCGCAAGAAAUAGAAGCGCGAUGAUUGAAGGGGAAAGAAAGAAAUAAGACACUUCAAAUGAACGAGUGCCACCAGCUGGUAAAGUUGAGAGUUGCCUGUGUUAACCUUAAUUAUUAUAGUACUAUGCGACAAGGAAACGUCAUCGUCACCGUAGCGCUGCGUCAGCUAUGAUUAACCCCCGUGUUAGCGGUGUGAUGAUGAGCCGACGAGGACGAGCUGGCCUCACCUGAGCCUUGAGAUGCAUGCUUGCCCGUUUCCCCAUCCCAUUGGCGCAACGGGGAGGCCAGCCGUGCUGGCACUGGCUAGCUGACCUCGCGCCCCCCAUUCACAGCGAUUGACAGUGAGCGCUCAGAGCUGCCGCCACGUGAUGCUAUCUACCGUUGCCAGCGUUCCUGAAGAUACGCAACGGCAAGGCAAUCAACAGCAGUUGGGCGCGAAUGCUACAGCUCGUCUCGGCUGGUCACACUCGCUGUCGACGUAUGGAGGCCGCCGGCCUGCGUUCUGCCGUUGAUCAUGAUUCAUGUGGCGAGCAACAAUGAGAAACUUCCUGCCGGUGGGCGGCGGCUCUGCUGCAAACCCGCGCGACGCGGCUGCCGACGGGCGACCGGGAAACGGGGCGCGCUCAGCUUGCCAGCGCUGCGCCCGCGGGGAUUCGCCCAGUCCAGCCGUAUUGAGAAGAGAACCACAGAAUCAGAACACUUACACUAGUACCUGGUGUCACUGGUCACCACACGCUCACGCCUCACUCGAAUGUCGAAUCGAGACGUAUAUUUUAGCUGAUUGACGACAGACCCAAAGCUAUUAAACAGACUUUCACACAGGAGCAGCAAAUCUCCUCUGAAGGGAGAGGAUCAGUGGAGGCUUGACGCAGAAAAUACUGUUACAUGAAUCCACGACACGGUAAACUGGAAAAUGGAAAUCAAACAUGCUACAUGCCACACGAUUCCAGCACGUACAUGGAUCAGAACUGGUAAAUGCGCAGAGUUAUGAACUAGAAUUGAUGUACAGUGUGUCCAAUAGUAAAGUCCCACUCUUUAACAAAAGAUGUUAGCCCUGAGAAGAAACUGGUCAGGCGAACUUAAAAAUUACACCUUAUUUCAUCGUUGGGAGCUAGAUUCCAUUAUCCCCUGUACACUGAAACCACCCAAAAUCUGGCGUCCUCACCUCAUACAACCUCUUCGAUUCCAUGGAGGUAAUGAAAUAGUAGCUGUGUAGGUACAAGAGUGAACUUGCAAGCUCCAAAGAGAAAAAGGAGAAAAGGAACAGGGAAGGUGAAUAAACCCCAUCUAACUCUUCCCGCCAAGCCCCUCGUAAAAUAAGAUAUACCCAUGGUCUGUGUUUCCUGAGUAUUCAUGUGAGGAACCGAAGAAUGUUUGUAGGGUCUGCUCUUCAACCAUCUCGACGUUUUCGUCGUCGAAGAACAACCAGUGGUUGUGGCUUUUGACAAGGCUUACAUAAUGCCCAUGGUUGGGGCCACUUCCGACAUGGACCACGACAGCAAAGAGGGAGUACUCAGUGUCUACAUCGUCGGAUGUAUUACUGAGCUUCAGUUCCAUGGGGAAUACAACCCGGUAUGAAAGCUUCUUAUACCGGCCAAGCUGCUCAAUGUACUUGAAACGCUUUAGAUGGAUCACCAAUAUGUGGGGAGCCUUCUUGAUCUUCAUUCUCUUCUGUGCUUCUUGCAAACUGGAAUACAACCAAACAAUGGAGUUCAGCACAGCAGUAACAAAGAACUAGAGUCAGGAUGAUGGUCCCUUCCAUAAGGUAGCUACAACAUGAUAUUUUUCAAAAUCUACAGCAUAACUUGGGUUCAACAAUGGUACGAGGGAACCAAGGUUACUCAGGGGUCAGGGCUUUAUGCUGUCGCGGAGAUCUACCAAAACAAAGUGCCCCCACCAAGUAGGAUGACAAUGAACAGUAAAAUUGACAUAAUUCUAAAGCAAAAGAAUGCUGAUGGUGAUGACAAAUAAAUACAACCCAAGGGAAACAUGGCAUAGUUACCUGCAGCAUUUGUCGCAGAAGAAUUUAUCCUCUGCAUUUAAAGUCUCAGUAGAACAGAAAUUUUUCAGGCAGCUUGUGAUAGAACUAUUUUGUUCAAUGUCAACACUAAGAUCAAGAAAUGUUUCAUCCCUUGCAGUUACUGUUUCACAUCUUAAGCAUCUUGUUUCGUUGGUCAAUAUGCCCUGCAAAGUUUGUGUGCAUGUAAAGAUGAUGGUAACUUGAAUCUAGAAGAAAAGUUAAAACACAAGGCACUUUUCAAUUAGUUCAGUCACCUGGAAAUUUUUAUGGACCAGAGUAACUGGAGGUUCUUUUUUAACUCCAUUGGCUAAAGGUUGAACUGGGCCAUUUGGAGCUUUUUCAGGAGAUGACAAUUGGGGUGAAUCCUUGGCAGCACUUGACUCUUUUUCCAGAAUAUCAACAAGUUCAUUCAAAAGGAAAUUUAAGAACUCGUGUGCAUCCUACAAAGAACCAUGCAGACAUAUUUUAGUCAAGAGAAGUAGUUGUUUUGGAGCUACCAUAAAAACUAAUUCAUUCCUGAAAUGACUGCUUUUAAAGCUACCAUAAUAAUUAAAACAUUUCUACAAUAGCAGAAAAAUGUGGGCACAUCACACAUGAGACCACAUGCAGCACUACACUACAAUAACUCAUACCCAUUACUUAAAGCUGAUGUAAAUAUUGCUAUACAGUUUGUUAUUGUGUCAAUCUAACAGUGAGACUACCAUACUACACCAGAUCAGAUGAAAUACAUUGCUACAACAUGGUGCGAAAUACCUGGUGCAUGUAGCUGCGAAACAACUCAUUCUGUUUCUUCACUCUCUGAACAAAACGUUUUGGAGCAAUAACGCCAGUCUUUUUCUUUGCUUGGCUUAUCUACAUGAUACACAAUGAGCACCUCUUAAUUCACCUCUUCAUUCUUUAAGGUGGCAAAUUGCAAUAUCAUGCAGAUUGCAGAAAUUUCACGUGACAUACAAAACACUAUGCAGUAACACUGAUAUACAACGAUGAAGUGAAACAAUGCAUUGACAACAAAGAUGUCAAGUCAAAGAUCUUUAUCAUACAAAUUUAAAUGACAUCAGGAUCAUAGCUGAUCGGUACCAUAGCAAUCAGUUAUGCACUACGAUUAGUCACGGUUAGUCAGGCUGGUCAGUGCCAUGGCGACUAGGAUCAAUUAGACGAUAUGAUAACAUUGAUUAUAUGUCCAGUAAUUAACAGUAGAACAGCACCCAUUACCUUAAGCAAGUUGUCCAGCAACCAAUUGCAAAGCAAGAGACAGUACAAUAAAUAUUUUAUACCACCAGCACAGAGCUCACAUUAAGUACGACUUUGCAUGAGAUUCAUUAUUCAAAUGCCCAGUGGUGAUGCUAUCGAAGCAUGCCACAUGUGCAUGCAUGAUGCAUCCAUGAGUGGGUAUGUUGCACGAAAUUCAACAGAUGCAUAGAUAUGUAGCGAUAGGCCUAUAGCAAAAUCAACACUAACAGGGGGUUUCAACUCUUAAGAUAAACAACUAAAAAAGAUGAUUUAGCAGAAUAUGGGUUUUCAGUUUAUAUGAGUAUUAUACUAUUAUCUCACUUUAAGUAGGAAGCAAAACUAAUUGCCGACACCUAAAUAUAUUAAACAGUAUAAGGAACAUGGAGUGCCAAGCAAAGAACUACAUAUCCAUGAAUGGACCUCUAUUGACAGUGUUAUCCAAAGAAAGCUAUAUAUGUACAGCUAGGAUACUGCACAUGUUAGAACUUCAAUGCAGCUAACAAAAGUUAAUAAGCAGGAAUGCAGCAUAUAUCCUAUCAGGAAAGGGCCAAAUAAAUAGAGAUUUUGAAACUCUUAAUAUGUUAAAGCCAAAAAGGUAUCUGCCUAUGUUUUUCUGUAACAAACAUCACCUUCUAAGUGAUGAUGUAAGACCUUUGUAAACUUUCAUUAUCUGAUGGGCCAUUUUGGGGCCAACAAUAAAUAAACAAAAAUCAGGUGGGGAACGACUCCCCCCCGUUGACCUUCAAAAAAAAAGGUAUCUGCCAAUAACAAGAAUUAAUAAGCUCAUAUUAAUAUAUAUAGAAAAUGAGAAGGAUUUAUUUCAUUUACAGUGUCAAGUGGGUAAACUCUACAUAACUAUCAUCACCUCAAAGCAAGACAA
rnacentral:lncRNA from 1 species